rnacentral:tRNA from 1 species
GAGAGUGGAUGGGGCCCGGUGGUCCUCACGGUCUUCAAAAUCGCUGGGCGGCGUGACGAGCGUCGCCGGUGGGUUCGACUCCCACGCACUCUCGCCA